GACGUAGGUGGCGAGCGUUGUUCGGAAUCACUGGGCAUAAAGCGCACGUAGGCGGCCAAGUCAGUCAGGUGUGAAAUACCUCGGCUCAACCGAGGAACUGCGCCUGAUACUGCUUGGCUUGAGGUCCGGAGGGGAGAGUGGAAUUCCCGGUGGAGCGGUGAAAUGCGUAGAGAUCGGGAAGAACGCCGGCGGCGAAAGCGACUCUCUGGUCGGAAUCUGACGCUGAGACGCGAAAGCCAGGGGAGCGAACGGG
rnacentral:rRNA from 1 species